GGACCUCCAGGGUCAUGAGGAAAGACUGAUCCAACACAGCACUUCAGUGUGGGAGCAUCUCAUCUCAAGGUUCAGCAGAUUUGAUAUGCUACCCUUCUGGAAACUGCACAAGAACAGAGCAUUUCAAGAAACCCUUUGAACAACCUGCAAGUGAUAUUAUCCAGGAGCUAACAACUACACCAACAUGGAGUUAUAAUGUUUUUGAAGACUCUAGGUGCAGAAACCAUUCAGUAUGCUUUCACAUGCCAUACUAAUGGCUAAUUAGAGAACAUCAACAAAUUAGAGAAAGCACAGUGAAAACUGAGUAUUAUGUUUGAAGAGUUAGUCUGUCAGCUUUUCUGAUUACUGGGGAGCAUUUAUCAGUCAUGAACUGCAAGCAUUUAAGAAGAUCAUGCUCUACACAGUCUGCUUACCACUUCAUAUUCAAGUUUCAAAACAGCUGAAAUAGAUUCCACCUAGACAGAACUUUUCUGCCUUGGAAAUCUUGUAUAUUUGUGCAUAUUAGGUACCAUCCUGUUUCCUGGUAUCAGCAGUUGCUAUCAUAAUUUUCUUAUGGGCCAUCAGAACAAAUAAUUUUUAAAAAGCUCUGAUAAAUUAAAUAUCAGUAUUUGAAGGUAUUAAUUCUUCUUUUCUCAUGCCUGCUACUUAUUAAAUUAACUUCUAUUAAGUCAUUUUAAAAUUCUGUUAAAAAUCACGCUGGGAUAAAUCUGGAAAGGUGAGAAGUGUAUAUGAUGGGUGUAUGUAUGUAUACAGUCUGGGUACAGAUUUGUCAAUCUUGUCAACAUCAUGAUGUGCCAAGAGGCAUUUAUAAUUCAAGUCACUAACAUAACCUCUCCUCCAAAUAAUCAUGUCACCUAAGGUUACACAACAUUAUGUACACAGCAAUUUGGUGUACUGAGGGUCCUGUAUCACUCUUUGGCAGCACUGUUUGGCAGUGCGGUUGGCUACUCCUGCAGCUGUAGUCCCCACUCUUCCAGGCUGUUGAAAACAUUGGUUUUCACUGCAGCUCUUUCCUCACUGAACAUUCAGAUUUAAUUUUAAAGGAAAAGAAGAUGAGUGAGGGCAUGGUGUGCAUACAGGUACCAUUCUGUUAUAGUGUCAUUUAUCAUAUAGCUGAGAUGCAAGCAGUGAUUUGGCUGCGAACAUGCUGAAGAGGACAAAUUAUCUUAAGAGUGAACUCAGGUCAGAUGUUUCUAAACACUCCUGAGCAAAUAUUAGGCAUCUCAAUAGUGUGUGAUGGCCUUGUCUUCC
rnacentral:lncRNA from 1 species